rnacentral:rRNA from 1 species
GAUGAACGCUGGCGGCGUGCCUAAUACAUGCAAGUCGAGCGAACGGACGAGAAGCUUGCUUCUCUGAUGUUAGCGGCGGACGGGUGAGUAACGCGUGGAUAACCUACCUAUAAGACUGGGAUAACUUCGGGAAACCGGAGCUAAUACCGGAUAAUAUUUUGAACCGCAUGGUUCAAAAGUGAAAGACGGUCUUGCUGUCACUUAUAGAUGGAUCCGCGCUGCAUUAGCUAGUUGGUAAGGUAACGGCUUACCAAGGCAACGAUGCAUAGCCGACCUGAGAGGGUGAUCGGCCACACUGGAACUGAGACACGGUCCAGACUCCUACGGGAGGCAGCAGUAGGGAAUCUUCCGCAAUGGGCGAAAGCCUGACGGAGCAACGCCGCGUGAGUGAUGAAGGUCUUCGGAUCGUAAAACUCUGUUAUUAGGGAAGAACAUAUGUGUAAGUAACUGUGCACAUCUUGACGGUACCUAAUCAGAAAGCCACGGCUAACUACGUGC